rnacentral:lncRNA from 10 species
GAAGAAGGUGCCCAGGAGCCGCCCUCCCCUCGCUGGGCAGCCAGGCCUCAGGCUUGGCGGCCUUAGGGGCUGGGCCGGGAGCCCGCGGAGAGGACAAGGAGGAGGCUGCGGUGAUUGCCCCCGAGGGCUCCGUGGGUGCGUACUCACCGCCCGGGGCCCUCGGGAGGCAGCGGCCUGCUCUCCACUCCACACCCCCAGGGCCGCCAUGGAUCUGGCUGCUCCGCGCGGGAGCUGCAGGAGGGAAGACACUCUGAAUGAGUGGAGAGGCAGCUGGCCUGGAGGGGCCGGCCCAGGCCAUUCCUGGCCCAGGCAGAGCGUCUGCACACGUGCGAGGGCAGAUGUGAGACCCGGUGCCACCUAAGAGUGCUCUCCAAGAACCUGCAGCUGCAGGUGCCGUUGAUCCUCCACUGGAGCCGGCUUCCACCAGGAGUGGGGAGCAAACAGGAAACUCUGACGCUCCUGUGAUGGCCCCAUUACUCCGCGUCUGACUCCUCACCCAGCAGACCACUAUCGUGGCUUUUCGUGAAUUUCCCUCAGACCCUGUUUCUACCCUGACUUUGUCUGUGAAGCUGAAGGCAGCCUGGGGAAAACGUGCAGUUUCUACAGGACAUGAGCUGGUGACUUACAUAAUGGCUUAUAUAAGCCCCAAACUCAAAUAAGCUAGAAUUCCCUUGGCCCAUCAGAGGCCCAUCAUGAAGUUCCUAGUUCCAUCAAAUGAAGUGUGAGAAGCCCAUAAACAUUUAGCAUUGAGCUCCUCUCUGAUGCAGGAGGGAAAGCAGCAGGAAGGAAGGCACCCGGGAGACCCAGAGGAACAUCUUUGUUUAUCCAGCGUGGCUCUGUGGUCCUCCUGCGCUUUCUCACCGCUGGGCUGGGGUAGACAGCAGCCCACCACCAACAUCCUAAAAUACAGACGGUAGUUCUGCUAUGCUUGAGGUGGCUGGAGGUCAGGAUGCCAGGCUGAGGGCAGCCCGCAGAUGGGGGCCGGCUCUUUCUUCCAGAGGAAGAGUAGGGAAACAUUCACUUCAUUGCAUAAACGAGUCCCAAUUUGCAUUUUACUGUAUCGUAAAACCCGAAGGCCUUACUUUAGUGUCUGAUUUAGGCAAUCACAGUUUCAGUAGGUUUUAUUUUAGCAAUAUUGGAGUAUUUUACUGACAGAAUGGCAUAAAACUUGACAAGCAAAUUAAAAAUGGAAAAUUAACUCCAACUGGUCAUCUUCCAACUGCCAUCAGUAAACAAGAGGAUGAAGGUCAGAGAGAUAAUGUGUGUUCGCGAGGGGAGUGUGUUUGAAAGGACCAUAAGCAGUUGCAGUUGCCGUUGGAAUCAAGAUAAUCUACUUUAUCUCACCAGGCGUUUUAUCGGUAUUUGUUUUACAUUAGAUUGGGAAUGGGAUCCAUUCCAAAUGAUGGUUUUAAUCUUAGGAAACAUAGUUGAAAAUUGCUAGCCAGAGUGCUAUUAAGAGGUACACACACCACUGAAUUUUAUACAGUCCAGUUCUGUUUUCUUUUCCAUUUCUAAGUUUCUCCCUUGGCAGGUCUCUUCUUCAUUUUGUGGGUGUGCCAGGAUUGGAGGCUGGGACUACCUGGUGAAAGGAUGGAGAUUUCCUCUGCAGAGACUGGAAGGACAGCAGAGGAAGAGACACCAGUGGGGCUCUUGUCUGGGGAAAAGGCAGAGUGAAGACACAGUGAGAAGCCAAGGAGAGAGGCCUCGGGAGAAACCAGCCCUGCCAACACCUUCAUCUUGGAUUUCUGGCCUCCAAAACUGUAAGAAAAUGAAUGGCUGCUGUUAAGCCACCCGGCCUGUGGUGCUUUGUCACUGGAGUCCCGGCAGGCACAUACCGAAGCUAAUGAUGGAGACGAAGAGAAGAUGAACUGGGAUGUGUCUCCGUCAACCCUCAAUUGUCCAAGGACUUAAACACAGAAUUGAGCAGGGUGGGGAUAGUGUCCUCGUUUUGCUGCCCUGGGAGAAAGCUGGCUUAGCCAGUCAUGAGAGGGCGGCACCAUACCCAGGGUGGCUUGUAGGGGUCCCAUGGUGUUGGAGUUCUGAAGAGCUGGCAGUGCUGGGGCUCCAUUUGGUGGGUCCAGCUAUCACAUCAUGAUGGAGGGUAGGGGGCAGGAGGAAUGGCAAGUCCUCUGCAUUCUCUGUUGCUUGUCCAGACUCUGUGCUGCCUGACUGCAGGAUCUCAAUACCACAGUCACCUGGAGAAAGGCCCCAACUCUUCUCCUCAGCCCCGUGGGGGUGCAACUGUCAGAACCCCCUGAGAAGGGCCCUCCUCACCUUUGUCUUCCAUAACCUCCCAGCCUGUCUUUCUGGAUCUCCUCCUGCUGGGAUUAAGCCAGAUCACUUGGAGCCAAAUCACUAACUGUCAAAUCACCUAAAACUAAUUGGCUUAAUUAUCAAUUUGCCUAAUGGUAUAUUUAACUAAAAUCUAUAUUUAUCAAAUUUACAUUGCUCACAUGACAGAGCAAUUCCGGCUCCGUCAGAGGUUCCACGUCGAUUCAGUUGUCUUCUGUGUUUGCUUGUUUUUGAUAAUAUCACAAAUUUUUAGCUGGUCUAAGGAUAUUUCUGUCUCAUUUUAAUAUUUCAGAUAAGAAUUGGUCAAAUUUGUAUUCACCUUAUAAGUGAAUAUAAAUAAGAAUUGAUCAACUUUAUAUUCACCUG